rnacentral:rRNA from 1 species
GACGAACGCUGGCGGCGUGCUUAACACAUGCAAGUCGAACGGAAAGGCCCUGCUUUUGUGGGGUGCUCGAGUGGCGAACGGGUGAGUAACACGUGAGUAACCUGCCCUUGACUUUGGGAUAACUUCAGGAAACUGGGGCUAAUACCGGAUAGGAGCUCCUGCUGCAUGGUGGGGGUUGGAAAGUUUCGGCGGUUGGGGAUGGACUCGCGGCUUAUCAGCUUGUUGGUGGGGUAGUGGCUUACCAAGGCUUUGACGGGUAGCCGGCCUGAGAGGGUGACCGGCCACAUUGGGACUGAGAUACGGCCCAGACUCGUACGGGAGGCAGCAGUGGGGAGUAUUGCACAAUGGGCGGAAGCCUGAUGCAGCAACGCCGCGUGCGGAAUGACGGCCUUCGGGUUGUAAACCGCUUCCGCCUGUGACGAAGCGUGAGUGACGGUAAUGGGUAAAGAAGCACCGGCUAACUACGUG